rnacentral:telomerase_RNA from 1 species
AUUCUCAACGUCACGUUGUGAGAAAUGAAACUGCUACCUAACCUUAGUAAUCGCGAGAGUCUUGGAGUUAAUCGGACUUACGCCCGGGUAUUCACAACCGGUAAAAUCUGUGAAUUCUUUAAACGUGAUUUUAUUU